UUUUUUUUCCAAGACGCAAUUGCGUCACUACGCAGCACGUGCGCGCGCGCAUGCGCCAUAGCCACUAAUGGACUCUAUUUAAGCCCAUUGCAGACACUAUUGUCUCUGACUGUCAUGGCGUCUGCUGGACUUAUGGAGACUUCUCACAUGCAGGUAGGACCACUGGUUGUUGAUGUUUGGCUUAUUGUUUGUUUUUGGUGCUGUGCCUUUAUGCACACUUCACCAGACUAGCCAUACAUAUUAUUUAUAUAUACUCCUAAAUUCCUUUUUCCAGUGAUCUCUGCCUGCGAUCACCCAGCAAUCCACCCUUCCUGAAACAUAGGAUAAUCUGGGUAGUUUGUCUCCUUGUGGCUGAACUUUUGUUCUCUGGCACAUGCAUACCCUCUCCUAUAUGGAUUCCCAUAUCUGGCGUGGACCUUUUUGGUAGGCUAUGAUUGUAUAUCCUCCCCGUGAACACAGAGACAUUGAUCUCCAUAUACAGCAUUUUCCCCUUGUUUUUGGCGUACUUUCACACUGAGACAGGACUCUAUCUACAGAUCUUAUUGACUACAUGUAUUUCUCUGACACAAUGAUCGUCUGUAAUACCCCUUGAAGAAGGAUCACAGAUACCGAAACGGCUGUCGGGUUGGACCAAUUUUUGUCUCAUGUCUGUUUUAUUGCUUUACAAAUAGGAUCUGUAUACCACUUGCAUGUGGUUUUUUAUCCUUGCUAGGACACUGUACGAUGUCCUUACUUAAAUUGUUUAAAUAAAUUUGCUAUAUAUUUUUCUACUCA